rnacentral:rRNA from 1 species
GUAAGGCUGAGUAUUAGGCAAAUCCGGUACUCGUUAAGGCUGAGCUGUGAUGGGGAGAAGACAUUGUGUCUUCGAGUCGUUGAUUUCACACUGCCGAGAAAAGCCUCUAGAUAGAAAAUAGGUGCCCGUACCGCAAACCGACACAGGUAGUCAAGAUGAGAAUUCUAAGGUGAGCGAGCGAACUCUCGUUAAGGAACUCGGCAAAAUGACCCCGUAACUUCGGGAGAAGGGGUGCUCUUUAGGGUUAACGCCCAGAAGAGCCGCAGUGAAUAGGCCCAAGCGACUGUUUAUCAAAAACACAGGUCUCUGCUAAACCGUAAGGUGAUGUAUAGGGGCUGACGCCUGCCCGGUGCUGGAAGGUUAAGAGGAGUGGUUAGCUUCUGCGAAGCUACGAAUCGAAGCCCCAGUAAACGGCGGCCGUAACUAUAACGGUCCUAAGGUAGCGAAAUUCCUUGUCGGGUAAGUUCCGACCCGCACGAAAGGCGUAACGAUUUGGGCACUGUCUCAACGAGAGACUCGGUGAAAUCAUAGUACCUGUGAAGAUGCAGGUUACCCGCGACAGGACGGAAAGACCCCGUGGAGCUUUACUGUAGCCUGAUAUUGAAAUUCGGCACAGCUUGUACAGGAUAGGUAGGAGCCUUUGAAACGUGAGCGCUAGCUUACGUGGAGGCGCUGGUGGGAUACUACCCUAGCUGUGUUGGCUUUCUAACCCGCACCACUUAUCGUGGUGGGAGACAGUGUCAGGCGGGCAGUUUGACUGGGGCGGUCGCCUCCUAAAAGGUAACGGAGGCGCUCAAAGGUUCCCUCAGAAUGGUUGGAAAUCAUUCAUAGAGUGUAAAGGCAUAAGGGAGCUUGACUGCGAGACCUACAAGUCGAGCAGGGUCGAAAGACGGACUUAGUGAUCCGGUGGUUCCGCAUGGAAGGGCCAUCGCUCAACGGAUAAAAGCUACCCCGGGGAUAACAGGCUUAUCUCCCCCAAGAGUUCACAUCGACGGGGAGGUUUGGCACCUCGAUGUCGGCUCAUCGCAUCCUGGGGCUGUAGUCGGUCCCAAGGGUUGGGCUGUUCGCCCAUUAAAGCGGUACGCGAGCUGGGUUCAGAACGUCGUGAGACAGUUCGGUCCCUAUCCGUCGUGGGCGUAGGAAAUUUGAGAGGAGCUGUCCUUAGUACGAGAGGACCGGGAUGGACAUACCUCUGGUGUACCAGUUGUCGUGCCAACGGCAUAGCUGGGUAGCUAUGUGUGGACGGGAUAAGUGCUGAAAGCAUCUAAGCAUGAAGCCCCCCUCAAGAUGAGAUUUCCCAACUUCGGUUAUAAGAUCCCUCAAAGAUGAUGAGGUUAAUAGGUUCGAUGUGGAAGCAUGGUGACAUGUGGAGCUGACGAAUACUAAUCGAUCGAAGACUUAAUC